GGCGGGAAGUUGGAGUUUGUAUUUUGCUCGUCAACAUGUUUCGUUUAAAAAUGUUCGGCUUCUCCUCAAAUAAAUCAACCGAACCUACUAACGAGAAAUCCUGGAUUUUGGACUUUGUUCUUGGAAAAAAUUUAAACCCAAAAGGACAAACUGUCAAAGUAUGCAGGCAUGUCACUGGACCCCUGGAUGAUGGGAGUGUAGUCAAGCAAGUCUCCGACUGUUCUGUCUUCAUCAAUGCAGUUUUUACACAAGAAGCCAUUGACAACUACAACUUUGAUGACGAGUCUUGCACACCUCCGGAGUGGGAUCAAGCCAUUCUGAUUGUCAAAGAUUAUCACCUCAAGUUUGUGCCAGCUCCAAGCUCUAGUGACUGUGAAUUUCUUCUGGUCAUCGGCAAGUUUUCACUGCUAGAUGUUCAUGAUGGGUUUUACAGCAAGCACACAGCUAGAGAUUGCAUGGAAGAUCCACAAGUACAGGUGGCAGUCGGUGCAAAGUGGACCCAAUGGAUGGCUGAAAAUAAGGACGAAGAUGCCAAUAAUGAGGAGUCCCAGUACACUGGCACCUGUCAACUGAGCCAGUUGCUGGAGGAGAUCGGACAGCCAGACACACAGACUCACUCUCAGACACAGGGGAGCUUCCAGCUCAACAUACACUCUGACGACAAGAUGAGUGGGCCAGAAGCAGGACCAAGCAAGGCAUUACCUGCACGAGGUCAUCUCAGUGAGGCUGUGUCUGCAAGAGCUCCUCCAGGGGAGACAAUGGUGUCAGCCUUGGCAAGGAUGAAACAGACAACUCCUGUGGCAGACUUGAUUAUCCCCCCUGAACAGCUGGCGAUCCUGGAGGCCCUGGAAGAAUGGAAAGAAGACUACCACCCUCAGCCUUCCCAGGAUACCACGAGUAGUUCUGACUCCUCCAGACCAAACUUCUCACAACCCACUCUGGCAGAAUCUCCAAGGAAGAGGGACCACACCGGUGCGUGCAAGUCCUCCGGCAAAACACGAGACAAGAGUCAACUCCUCAAGCCUCAGUCUCCUGCAAGGACGGACAUGUCAAAGCCCUCCUCUACACCAGAAAGUGAAGCUGGUCAUCGUGAACAGGAACGGGGAGAUGUUCUAUCAGAUGAAACUAGCAUCACAGACAGACAGAUUCAGCCCAGACCUGCUUCUUUCAGUCACAGUGUCCAGGAAGAUGCUGAUGCAGAAUGUCACCAAUAUAGCAACAAAAGAGCAGACGGUCAAGGAACACCCAGAUCCAAAGACGUUUGCAUCCUUAAACCAAAUUCAGCAAACACAAAACCUGGAUAUUUCUCUAUCAAAGGGAUAUCUAGGUUCUUGAAUAACAAUGAGAGUCCACGGGAUAAGAGGAUACCUUUAGCAGAAGUUCAAGGACAGUCAAGGAUAACGGAUACACCUGAGGAGCAAGUGGGGCAGAACGCUGACAGUGUGCAUCAGUAUGAUAGAUCACCGAAAGGAUUCACGGCAGAGUACAUGAAGUUUUUAGAUUCAUCUAACAAAUUCAAGAAAGGUUAUCGGAGUGAUUCAUCUAACAAAUCCAAGAUGGUUGAUAAAAGUGAUUCAUCUGACAAAUCCAAGAUGGUUGAUAAAAGUGAUUCAUCUAACAAAUCCAAGAUGGCUGAUAAAAGUGAUUCAUCUGACAAAUCCAAGAUGGCUGAUCAAAGUGAUUCAUCUGACAAAUCCAAGAUGGCUGAUAAAAGUGAUUCAUGUAACAGUGAUAUUUGCGUCAUUGAUGUUGUGACCCUGUGCAGUCUGCCAACAGCCUGGCACAAGUCAAGUGCAGACUCUGUGGAGUUUUCCUGUUCCCUGCCAGAAGAUUCUCAGAACUCGCAAGACUCACAGAUCUCGAUGAGCUCACAAAGCUGUCCUAGCUCACAGACAUCGCAGAGUUCUCAGACAGGUGCACCGACUGAUGCAGAACAUGGAGCAGGAGACACUGACAUGUCACGCACCUCUGAUCUCAUUGCAGACAUGCAGGAGUCAACCAAGGCUCUUAGAAACAGGUCUGGGAAAUUGUCUGCUUCAUCUAGGUUGGUUUCGAUAUCAGAGGACUGUCAGUCAGAGAUACAGGCCAGGGAGACAGAACCUGCAGCUGGCCGAGGAAAAGGUUCACACCCUGAUACAAGACGAGUCUCCUUUGCCCCGUCUGCAGUGAUGAAAUACCCCUCGCUAGAUCUUGACAAGGUUGGUUCAACGCAACCCUUUGAUGUGGUGAACGACUCCACGUAUUCCAUGUACGAAGAUGCCAAAUCUCACUUGUCCACCCCAGAUCCUCUACCUCGAACAACAAGUCACCUUGACUUCCCCGAGUCCCAGCCAUUUGUGCCUUUCAGCCAGGAUUUGUUAGUCUCUGAUUCAGUUGAGGACAAGAGCAGAAGUAACAGUGACCCGUGUACACAAAAGGACUAUACUGAUGUUGUUUGUGAUUCUGUUGAACAUCUGACUGAUGCGCACUCAACUGGAUACAGUGAGACAGUUAUUAAUGACACUUCCUUCCAUCACUCCACACAGACAUCUGGAGUGACAAGAAAGUCAACACCAGACUUUCUUAUUUCACCUAUUAGAAGAGUGACAAGAAAUAGCAGAGUAGACUCAUCAGACAAUGGUGAUAAAUCAGGCAGCGACAGUGUGUUUGACAGUGCGCUAGAUCUGCCUAAAAGUCAGCGCACUUCAGUUGUCGUAGAGUGUGUGGUCCUAGAAGGAGAAAGUCAGAAACAUUCAACUGUGGACAAAGCUGUAUCCCAGCGUUCUGCUCUAAGAUCUGAAGAAUCUGUGGAGAAAACUGCUUCCCAGCCAAAACAGAAAUUAUUCAUGCAUAAGUCACCUUCGCAUGAUCAUCCCAGUUUUGACGAAUCUGAUUCUCUAGAACGUAUUCCCCUGUCUCAUGGACAGUGUAAAGGUGGAAAUACUGGUGCCGUGGAAACAGUGGAGGGAUUGUGCACCCCUGAAACUGACCCAGAAACCACCACCACAAAGGUUCUGACAAGAUCAAAAAGUAAAAAGAACUUCACUGGGUCAUCCCAUUCCAGGCAGUCAACAUCAGACCCUGAAACCUCCUUGGGUAGAAACAGAAGAAAACCGGUCCAUAAUUUGAAGGAAAACAUAACAGAAAAAUUGGUUCGAUCACCGGGACUUGACAAGCAGAAUCAGUCUGCUAAGGAAUCAGACUUAGAUCUGUCGGAUAAAAAGUCUGAUUCUGAAAUUGUUAUUGAGGAAUACUCUACUGAUUCAGAUGUGAGUAAGGUUGGUACGCAAGACCAAAGCCGGAAAGAUUCACUUAAAAGUGGUGGAACGAAAGAUGAGAGUGCUUCUGGUGGUGAAGACAUCAGAGCAGACGUCAGUAUCACCAUGGAUGUGGACAGUGGCCAGAAAGCUGGACCUUCACGCACAGAGGGUGAUGUUUCUAUGGACGACAGCGUCAUCCUGGUGGAGGAUGAGGAUGAGGAACAUGCUGAGGAGAUAACAGAAGCAGCAGAGCCACCAUCAAUAUCUGGCAAAGAACUCAGGAGUUCAAACAUUGGGAAGAGGGGUUCACAGAAACCCUCUGAUAAUCAUCCAGACAGUCAAGGAUAUCAUAAUAUUCUGGAGAAGUAUAUCACUACGAGAAGAACACGGUCUUCCAAACAAGAUAAUAAUGAUGCAGAUGGUGUUGCUCCACCGAAGCUGAGGAGCUCAAGAGCUGUUGUUCCUGGUCCCGAGGGAGAUGCAUCAAGUCAGGCCAAGAUAUCACCAAAAUGUACCCAAAACAGCGUGGAGAAGAUUGGCACAAGGAGACAUGGUACCGGGAAGUCUGUUAAUGAUGCUGAUAAGAAGACUAAGAAGAGGAGUAAACUACAGCAUCAGGAAGUACCUGAGAGUCAAGGUCAGGAAGAGGAUCAAGGACCAGAACGUGGUCAGGUGCAGAACAAAGUCAUUGAGGUAGAUGAUGCUGAGAAGGAUCCAAGGAAGAAGAAGAAAAAGAAGGAAGUUGAAAUAAUGUUUGAAAAAGCAGUUAAGAAGUAUGGCCUGAUUGGAAGUGUAUCCAAAGGGUGGAAAUCUGAAAAAUGUUACGGCAAACAACAGCAAAGUGUAAGCAGAGCUAACAAGAAGGAUGAAGAGGAGUGGUCGCAGGUGUUGUGUGAGGCUGAUGGUGCAACUAGAUGUGCAGGACGACAGGAAUCUAGAGAUGGUGCUCGCAAGGUUCAUCCGCCACAAGUGAGAGAGAGUAGUCCUAGUGGGCAGCUCAAAGACAUACAUGCUGGAGGUGCAGGACGACAGGAAUCUAGAGAUGGUGCUCGCAAGGUUCAUCAGCCACAAGUGAGAGAGAGUAGUCCUGGUGGUCAGCUCAAAGACAUACAUACUGAUGAUGGAACUAGUCAAGAACUAGCUGUGGACAGUGACAUGCAUGAGAUAACUGACCAGCUUGACAUUGAGAACAUCCCAAUACAUUUGGAGAGAGGGACAAGGGAAUUGAAGCAGAGUAAGAGAACACCUGCUCAGCCUAAAAGAAAGCAGAUGAAAGGCAUUAUGCCAGAACCAUAUUGUAGAGAUGUGCCCGGCCCCCGACAGCCAAGUGUCGGCACCUGGGACGAGGGCAGGAAGGCUGUAUGCAGGAGGGUGUCCAGCAUCAGGCGGGAGUCUGGCAUCGACAGCAGCCAGGAUGUCCCAACAACACAGGUCCUGUUGGACUUCCUGGAGAUGCAGCCUCCAGAACAUCAGCCUUUGCUGGACCUCCGGGUCCCCCCCGAUCUACUGCAUAAGAUCUGCAGCAUCUACAGGAAACCCAUCUCGUAUCCCCACUGAAGAUUAACUCCCCUUGUAGAGUUGGUUCGUGUCUUGAUGUAUUGAAUGUUGAGACCAAGUUGAUUAUCUUACUUCAGAGAUACUGAGAAAUAUACUUAAUAUGCAGCACUAUGAAAUGUUAUUCAGGUGUAUUGCAAAUAUUUACUUUCAGAAGUUCUGUGUUAAGGGUCCUACAAGUACACUGACAAGUAGGCUAAAGUGGGUUCAGGGUCAGUGCUAUUAAUUGUUGUUGCCCGACUAUUGUGUUGAUAAUCUGAGUUUCAUUUUCUUGUUUAUGUUCAUGUUGAGAAUAUUCCCUGCAAUAAUUGUGAUGUUUCUGUAUGAUGGCAAAGUAUGAUGAGUGACUUACUACCACUCUGUGUUGUCCAACAAUUUAUUGUUCCAUUUGAUCAGGAAAAUGUACAUUGUAUUGAUUAUGAAUAAACAAAUGUGUGCCUUGUUCUAA